rnacentral:rRNA from 1 species
UCGAGAAUCUUCCGCAAUGGGCGAAAGCCUGACGGAGCGACGCCGCGUGAUGGACGAAGGCCCUCGGGUUGUAAACAUCUGUCGUAGGGGAGGAAAUUUUGACCGAUCCUAGGAGGAAGCACAGGCUAAGUUCGUGCCAGCAGCCGCGGUAAUACGAACUGUGCGAACGUUAUUCGGAAUCACUGGGCUUAAAGGGUGCGUAGGCGGAUUUGUAGGUCAGAUGUGAAAGCCCACGGCUCAACCGUGGAAUUGCGUUUGAAACCCCAAGUCUUGAGGGGAUCAGAGGAGAGCGGAACUGAUUGUGGAGCGGUGAAAUGCGUUGAUAUGAUUAGGAACACCGGUGGCGAAAGCGGCUCUCUGGGAUCUUUCUGACGCUGAGGCACGAAAGCUAGGGGAGCGAACGGGAUUAGAUACCCGCGUAGUCC